rnacentral:rRNA from 1 species
UACGUAGGGGGCAAGCGUUGUCCGGAAUCAUUGGGCGUAAAGCGCGUGUAGGCGGUUCGAUAAGUCUGCUGUGAAAGUCCAGGGCUCAACCCUGGGAUGCCGGUGGAUACUGUCGGGCUAGAGUACGGAAGAGGCGAGUGGAAUUCCCGGUGUAGCGGUGAAAUGCGCAGAUAUCGGGAGGAACACCAAUUGCGAAGGCAGCUCGCUGGGACGUCACUGACACUGAGGCGCGAAAGCGUGGGGAGCGAACAGG